rnacentral:rRNA from 1 species
CAGCCGCCACGGUAAUACGGAGGGUGCAAGCGUUAAUCGGAAUUACUGGGCGUAAAGCGCACGCAGGCGGUCUGACAAGUCAGAUGUGAAAUCCCCGGGCUUAACCUGGGAACUGCAUUUGAAACUGUCAGGCUGGAGUCUUGUAGAGGGGGGUGGAAUUCCAGGUGUAGCGGUGAAAUGCGUAGAGAUCUGGAGGAAUACCGGUGGCGAAGGCGGCCCCCUGGACAAAGACUGACGCUCAGGUGCGAAAGCGUGGGGAGCAAACAAGGUUAGAUACCCCUGUAGUCCCUGUCUCUUAUAC